rnacentral:rRNA from 1 species
AAAAGAAACUAACAAGGAUUCCCUUAGUAGCGGCGAGCGAAGUGGGAAGAGCUCAAAUUUGAAAUCUGGCGUCUUUCAGGCGUCCGAGUUGUAAUCUAUAGAAGCGUUUUCUGUGCCGGACCGUGUCCAAGUCCCUUGGAACAGGGUAUCAAAGAGGGUGACAAUCCCGUACUUGACACGACAACCGGUGCUCUGUGAUACGUUCUCUACGAGUCGAGUUGUUUGGGAAUGCAGCUCAAAAUGGGUGGUAAAUUCCAUCUAAAGCUAAAUAUUGGCGAGAGACCGAUAGCGAACAAGUACCGUGAGGGAAAGAUGAAAAGCACUUUGGAAAGAGAGUUAAACAGUACGUGAAAUUGUUGAAAGGGAAACGAUUGAAGUCAGUCGUGUCUAUUGGUUUCAGCCGGUUCUGCCGGUGUAUUACCUUUAGACGGGUCAACAUCAGUUUUGGACGGUGGAAAAAGG